rnacentral:rRNA from 1 species
AACGAACGCUGGCGGCAUGCCUAACACAUGCAAGUCGAACGAGACCUUCGGGUCUAGUGGCGCACGGGUGCGUAACGCGUGGGAACCUGCCCUUAGGUUCGGAAUAACUCCCCGAAAGGGGUGCUAAUACCGGAUAAUGUCUUCGGACCAAAGAUUUAUCGCCGUUGGAUGGGCCCGCGUUGGAUUAGCUAGUUGGUAGGGUAAAAGCCUACCAAGGCGACGAUCCAUAGCUGGUCUGAGAGGAUGAUCAGCCACACUGGGACUGAGACACGGCCCAGAAUCCUACGGGAGGCAGCAGUGGGGAAUAUUGGACAAGGGGCGAGAGCCUGAUCCAGCAAUGCCGCGUGAGUGAUGAAGGCCUUAGGGUUGUAAAGCUCUUUUACCCGGGAUGAUAAUGACAGUACCGGGAGAAUAAGCUCCGGCUAACUCCGUG